rnacentral:tRNA from 1 species
GGAUGUGGCUCAGUGGUAGAGCGCCUGCCCAGCAAGUGUGAGGCCCUGGGUUCAAUCCCUAGCACCA